rnacentral:tRNA from 2 species
GCCCGCUUGGCUAAGUGGUAUAGCGUGUCACUAGUAGACCUAGAUGUCAUGACAAGAUCAGCGGUUCGAUUCCGCUAGUGGGCA